rnacentral:sRNA from 1 species
AGAUGCGUGCAAUUAAGGGCUUUGGCGGGAUUGGCUCCGCGUUUGGGCUGGUCCGCUGCUCCCCACCUACCAGGGUCGGAUCCGGGGCCCUUCCCCGCGGGGCGGGGACCUCCAAACAACCGACUCCUUUCCAGCUGAAGAAACACUUAAAUUCUGGAAAUAGCGACUCAGUAUCAUGGCCAGCAGCCUUAAUGAAGAUCCAGAAGGAAGCAGAAUCACUUAUGUGAAAGGAGACCUUUUUGCAUGCCCGAAAACAGACUCUUUAGCCCACUGUAUCAGUGAGGAUUGUCGCAUGGGCGCUGGGAUAGCUGUCCUCUUUAAGAAGAAAUUUGGAGGGGUGCAAGAACUUUUAAAUCAACAAAAGAAAUCUGGAGAAGUGGCUGUUCUGAAGAGAGAUGGGCGAUAUAUAUAUUACUUGGUAAGAUGGGGCCAAUUCCUUUUUUUUCCAGGGCCAAUUCUUAAUACAUUUUAAGGAUUUGUCAACAGAUGGGCUGCACUGCAUUUGUGUUGAUCAUGAUGUUCUAUUCUAGACAACUAAGAAUGUCAAAAAGCUUCCUAUCUUAUGACAACUCCAGUCCAGUGAUGGCGGCUACUUGGAGCACUGGGUUAGAAAGAAAUGUGAGGCUGCAUCCCAGCUCUGUGGGAAAGUCGUGUAUCAUUUACCAUAGGCCUGUUCUAAGACUUGCAAAAGUUAGGAAUGCCUGCCAUACUAUAUUUCCUAGGCAGAGUGAGAUAAAAACAAUAAUGUCUCAAGAGACAGAUUUUCCAAAGGAGCUUUUCUCUUAUUCCAUGUCAAAUCAAAUAGCACACUGAUAGCAAGGGGGUGAAUAAAAACAAAAAAUAAUAAGUGCAGUCCCAAAUAAUACUUAGCUCCUCUCCUAACUACUGCUUGAAUGUGGGGUUCUUCAACAGUCUAGGAUGGCAUUUGGUCCCUGAAAGGGUGUGGCUUCCUUAGUGGUGGUGGUGGGUAAAUUACAGCUAACCCACUACAAGCCUGAUCUGGAUGACAAACUGAGUGGGGAGAUGUCCUAGCCCCUUUGAAUUCUGUCCUUAAAGCUUAUGUGGCUUCCAGUGGUUUUACUUUGGGACCCUACCGGUUUUUUCUGUUGUUUUAUGUAGAGAGACAAAAAGCAAGCAAGCACAGUUUCUAAAUAAGUAGAGGCUUUUAGCAGGGAAUUUUCAGGUGGUAUGCUUUCUUCCCUGUUACAGAUAUGCAGCUUAUCUCUUGGAAGUGGCACAGAGACUUCACUUACCUUGCUUAAAAAUAUUGACAAUAGGUAUCACCUGCUAAUCUCAUGGGUUUCCUAGGAAAAGGAAAGAUUGCUACGUGGCAGAGUCUGGGUUUCUCAGCCUCUAUUUAGUGGAUUUUCUUGAAGGUCUCCCAUAACAGUGUGGAAAGGGCAAUAUGACAUUUGUCAUCCUUGCUCUAGACUAAUUCUAUAAAAAUGUGCGUACUCUUUU